CUGAGGGGUGUGGCGCGAGCAGCGCCGUUGGUUGGCCGGCGGCGGGCGGGACAGGCAUGGCCCUGUUGCUGUGCCUGGUGGGCAUGACAGCGGCGCUGGCCCACGGCUGCCUGCACUGCCACAGCAACUUCUCCGAGAAGUUCUCCUUCUACCGCCACCAUGUGAACCUGAAGUCUUGGUGGCUGGGCGACAUCCCCGUGUCGGGGGCGUUGCUCACCGACUGGAGUGACGACACUGUGAAGGAGCUGCACCUGACCAUCCCCGCCGAGAUCACCUGGGAGAAGCUGGACCAAGUGGCGAGAGCCGUGUACCAGAGGAUGGAUCAGCUGUACCAGGGGAAGAUGUACUUCCCGGGGUAUUUCCCCAAUGAGCUGCGAAACAUCUUCCGGGAGCAGGUGCAACUCCUCCAGAACGCCAUCAUCGAAAGUGAGCCUGGGUCCCAGUGGAGAACCCUGAGGCUUUGGCGGGUUGGGCGGAGGCACGGCGGGGGAACAAGGCUGGGCCUGGAGAUUGCACCGUCUGCCCUCCCACAGGCCGCAUCGACUGUCAGCGCCACUGUGGCAUCUUCCAGUACGAGACCAUCUCCUGCAGCAACUGCACAAACUCGCACGUCGUCUGCUUUGGCUAUAACUGCGAGUCCUCGGAGCAGUGGAAGUCAGCAGUCCAGGGCCUCUUGAACUACAUAAAUAACUGGCACAAGUAAGUCCCCUCCUCAAACCCGACACAGGCUGUAUGUGUGUGAGCACCUCGUGGGUGAGUAGGUGUGGGGCACAGGUGGACCCCCUCAGCUUCUGCGUCCUAGAGGGGCCCCGAGGAGGCGGGACCUCACCCCAGCUCUGUGCAGGAGCCAGCCGCAGCCCCUUUCUCUCUCGAGGGUCUCCGACCCUCAGCUGGAGGGGCUCAUCUGGCUUAACAGGUCCCCAUAGGGUCUGAUCCCACCCCUGCCCCAGGUCUGUGUUCAAGCCUGGGAAGGUUCCCGACGAUGGUUAGGGGUGCCCCAUGGAGUCUGACUGCCCCAUCUUGCCUUUCAGACAGGACACGAGCAUGAGGUAAGGCCGCCCUGGCCCUGCCUUCAGGGGGAGGGGGUAAAGGGAGAGAAGAGGGGGUGCCGGGGGUCCUCUAGGUCGAUGGAGCACUGCAGGUGGGGCUCUCCCUAUGCCUGGGACACCUGCUGGAUGCCACCUCUGCAACCACACCCAUGUGGUGCUUUCAUGAACAAACCACGCUUUCUCCUCCUCCUGGCUCGGGACGCACAGAGCCACCCCAGCCUUCCUGGUAUCGCCAGCCUUCAGGUGUCUGGAGUCCCGACGCCUGGACAACCUGACCUUGGA